GACAGAGGGUGCAAACGUUGUUCGGAAUUACUGGGCGUAAAGCGCGUGUAGGCUGCUCGGAAAGUCGGAUGUGAAAGCCCUGGGCUCAACCUAGGAAGUGCAUUCGAAACUUCCGAGCUGGAGUGCUGGAGAGGAAGGCGGAAUUCUCGGUGUAGAGGUGAAAUUCGUAGAUAUCGAGAGGAACACCGGCGGCGAAGGCGGCCUUCUGGACAGCGACUGACGCUGAGACGCGAAAGCGUGGGGAGCAAACAGG
rnacentral:rRNA from 1 species